rnacentral:rRNA from 1 species
AGAGUUUGAUCAUGGCUCAGGACGAACGCUGGCGGCGUGCUUAACACAUGCAAGUCGAACGGAAAGGCCCUUCGGGGUACUCGAGUGGCGAACGGGUGAGUAACACGUGGGUGAUCUGCCCUGCACUUUGGGAUAAGCCUGGGAAACUGGGUCUAAUACCGAAUAGGACCGCAUGCUUCAUGGUGUGUGGUGGAAAGCUUUUGCGGUGUGGGAUGGGCCCGCGGCCUAUCAGCUUGUUGGUGGGGUAAUGGCCUACCAAGGCGACGACGGGUAGCCGGCCUGAGAGGGUGUCCGGCCACACUGGGACUGAGAUACGGCCCAGACUCCUACGGGAGGCAGCAGUGGGGAAUAUUGCACAAUGGGCGCAAGCCUGAUGCAGCGACGCCGCGUGAGGGAUGACGGCCUUCGGGUUGUAAACCUCUUUCAGUAGGGACGAAGCGAAAGUGACGGUACCUACAGAAGAAGGACCGGCCAACUACGUGCCAGCAGCCGCGGUAAUACGUAGGGUCCGAGCGUUGUCCGGAAUUACUGGGCGUAAAGAGCUCGUAGGUGGUUUGUCGCGUUGUUCGUGAAAACUCACAGCUUAACUGUGGGCGUGCGGGCGAUACGGGCAGACUAGAGUACUGCAGGGGAGACUGGAAUUCCUGGUGUAGCGGUGGAAUGCGCAGAUAUCAGGAGGAACACCGGUGGCGAAGGCGGGUCUCUGGGCAGUAACUGACGCUGAGGAGCGAAAGCGUGGGUAGCGAACAGGAUUAGAUACCCCGGUAGUCCAA